AUGGACUCCUGUUGCCGCCUUCGCCUCCCUCCUCUGAGCUCUCCUCCUCUUUCUUCUUCUCUCGUGGCCUCCUCUUCGAUUCCCUGGGGCGAAAGGCGGCACCGCCGUCUCCUGCUGCCGCCCGACUCGGUGCAAAAGCGGACCAGUCAGUCAGAACCGCCGCGAUUGCGGGACGCAGGAAGACGCUGUCGGAGGGGUGGGAUCUGUCGGAUACGUGGCCGGACUUCUUGGAUCGAGGUUCGAGAAGCUCGACACCAGUAACAUGCUUCUUCCCAGGCAAUUCUAUUAUAAAUGAAGCAUGUUUAGUUGCACUCUCGUUCACAUAGGGGUGCUUCCACCAAUGCAUUUGAAAAGAGAUUGAAGUGGAUACAGACCGUGACAAUUUCAUGCACCGGUGGGAGGCCAAGGAAUAUAGAUUGGUCAAUGAUGUUAUAGAUGAUGGGAAACCAAGCUUAGUUGCUCCAAUAACAGAUUCAACCACUCCAAAACCCCAUGUGUGGGAUUUACGGAAGAUCGAUUGAAGUAAAAAAGUGAGGCAGAAUCUGCUUCAGAACAGAAGCUUUCCCAGAACAGAAAUAAAGCUGACAGUGGGAGUGAUGAGGAGAAAGGAACAGAGCAGAUGACAGAGGAUUCAACAGCAGUAUGAAGCACAGAACUGAAUUAAGCCCAAUUUUUGAAAAUCUGAAGAACGGAAUGAAGAUUAUCUUGGAGGCCUCGAUGCUGGAGUUGUUUUCUGGGAACUCAAAAGAAAGUAUAGAUAGGAAAUUAGAAGAGAUGCUAAAUUCCUAAUGGGAACAUUUCAAUGAAAUUGCUCUUCUACUUUCUCAGCGAUCCUUGCUUAAAGACUUAAGAGGCAAUUGAAAGCAAAGUGGUUCUGGAUGUCUUGUA